rnacentral:rRNA from 1 species
AUUGAACGCUGGCGGCAGGCCUAACACAUGCAAGUCGAACGGUAACAGGAAGCAGCUUGCUGCUUCGCUGACGAGUGGCGGACGGGUGAGUAAUGUCUGGGAAACUGCCUGAUGGAGGGGGAUAACUACUGGAAACGGUAGCUAAUACCGCAUAACGUCGCAAGACCAAAGAGGGGGACCUUAGGGCCUCUUGCCAUCGGAUGUGCCCAGAUGGGAUUAGCUAGUAGGUGGGGUAACGGCUCACCUAGGCGACGAUCCCUAGCUGGUCUGAGAGGAUGACCAGCCACACUGGAACUGAGACACGGUCCAGACGCCUACGGGAGGCAGCAGUGGGGAAUAUUGCACAAUGGGCGCAAGCCUGAUGCAGCCAUGCCGCGUGUAUGAAGAAGGCCUUCGGGUUGUAAAGUACUUUCAGCGGGGAGGAAGGGAGUAAAGUUAAUACCUUUGCUAAUUGACGUUACCCGCAGAAGAAGCACCGGCUAACUCCGUG